rnacentral:rRNA from 1 species
AUUGAACGCUGGCGGCAGGCUUAACACAUGCAAGUCGAGCGAGCGGCGGACGGGUGAGUAAUGUCUGGGAAACUGCCUGAUGGAGGGGGAUAACUACUGUAAACGGUAUCUAAUACCGCAUACCAUCAGAUGUGCCCAGAUUGGAUUAGCUAGUAGGUGGGGUAAUGUCUCACCUAGGCGACGAUCCCUAGCUGGUCUGAGAGGAUGACCAGCCACGCUGGAACUGAGACACGGUCCAGACGCCUACGGGAGGCAGUAGUGGGGAAUAUUGCACAAUGGGCGAAAGCCUGAUGCAGCCAUGCCGCGUGUGUGAAGAAGUCCUUCGGGUUGUAAAGCACUUUCAGCGAGGAGGCGUUACUCUCAGAAGAAGCACCUGCUAACGCCGUGCCAGCAGCCGCGGUAAUUC